rnacentral:misc_RNA from 1 species
UCUCCGUUGGUGAACCAGCGGAGGGAUCAUUACCGAGUUUUCAACUCCCAAACCCAAUGUGGACCAUAGCAAACUGUUGCCUCGGCGGGGUCACGCCCCGGGUGCGUCGCAGCCCCGGAACCAGGCGCCCGCCGGAGGGACCAACCAAACUCUGUCUGUAGUCCCCUCGCGGACGUUAUUUUUACAGCUCUGAGCAAAAAUUCAAAAUGAAUCAAAACCUUCAACAACGGAUCUCUUGGUUCUG